UACGUAGGGUGCAAGCGUUAUUCGGAAUUACUGGGCGUAAAGCGUGCGUAGGCGGUUCGUUAAGUCUGAUGUGAAAGCCCUGGGCUCAACCUGGGAAUGGCAUUGGAAACUGGCGACCUAGAGUGCGGUAGAGGGUAGUGGAAUUCCCGGUGUAGCAGUGAAAUGCGUAGAGAUCGGGAGGAACAUCCGUGGCGAAGGCGACUCCCUGGACCAGCACUGACGCUGAGGCACGAAAGCGUGGGGAGCAAACAGG
rnacentral:rRNA from 1 species